rnacentral:rRNA from 1 species
AAAUUGAAGAGUUUGAUCAUGGCUCAGAUUGAACGCUGGCGGCAGGCCUAACACAUGCAAGUCGAACGGUAACAGGAAGCAGCUUGCUGCUUCGCUGACGAGUGGCGGACGGGUGAGUAAUGUCUGGGAAACUGCCCGAUGGAGGGGGAUAACUACUGGAAACGGUAGCUAAUACCGC